rnacentral:misc_RNA from 1 species
CCGAGUUAUACAACUCAUCAGCCCUGUGAACAUACCUAUAACGUUGCCUCGGCGGGAACAGACGGCCCCGUAACACGGGCCGCCCCCGCCAGAGGACCCCCUAACUCUGUUUCUAUAAUGUUUCUUCUGAGUAAACAAGCAAAUAAAUUA